rnacentral:rRNA from 1 species
ACCAGACUCCUACGGGAGGCAGCAGUGGGGAAUAUUGCACAAUGGGCGAAAGCCUGAUGCAGCGACGCCGCGUGAGUGAAGAAGUAUUUCGGUAUGUAAAGCUCUCUCAGCAGGAAAGAAAAUGACGGUACCUGACUAAGAAGCCCCGGCUAACUACGUGCCAGCAGCCGCGGUAAUACGUAGGGGGCAAGCGUUAUCCGGAUUUACUGGGUGUAAAGGGAGCGUAGACGGUGAAGCAAGUCUGAAGUGAAAGGCGGGGGCUCAACCCCCGGACUGCUUUGGAAACUGUUUGACUGGAGUGCAGGAGAGGUAAGUGGAAUUCCUAGUGUAGCGGUGAAAUGCGUAGAUAUUAGGAGGAACACCAGUGGCGAAGGCGGCUUACUGGACUGUAACUGACGUUGAGGCUCGAAAGCGUGGGGAGCAAACAGGAUUAGAUACCCUUGUACG